GAUGAACGCUGGCGGCGUGCUUAACACAUGCAAGUCGAACGGAAAGGCCAGUGCUUGCACUGGUUCUCGAGUGGCGAACGGGUGAGUAACACGUGGGUGAUCUGCCCUGCACUUCGGGAUAAGCCUGGGAAACUGGGUCUAAUACCGGAUAGGACAAUGGUUUGGAUGCCGUUGUGGAAAGUUUUUUCGGUGUGGGAUGAGCUCGCGGCCUAUCAGCUUGUUGGUGGGGUAAUGGCCUACCAAGGCGUCGACGGGUAGCCGGCCUGAGAGGGUGUACGGCCGCAGUUGGACUGAGAUACGGCCGAGAGUCCUGCGGGAGGCAGAAGGGGAGAAUAUUGCACAAUGGGCGCAUGCCUGUUGCAGCGACGCCGCGUGGGGGUUGACUGACUUCGGGUUGUAAACUCCUUUCGCUAGGGACGAAGCGUGUUUGGAACGGUACCUGGAGAAGAAGCACCGGCUAACUACGUG
rnacentral:rRNA from 1 species